AUGAAUGGUGAAAGGAAGGUACACUGGAUCGCCUGGGAAAAGAUGUGUGCGUCAAAAAGGAGUGGUUGAAUGGGAUUUCAUGAUCCGGAAGCUUUUAACCAAGCGCUCUUAGCAAAUCAGGCUUGGUGUAUUUUGCAGGUCCCAUCUUCUCUCUGUGCACGAGUGCUAAAAGCGAGAUAUUUCCCUGAACACUCGAUUUUGACGGCCACGUGUCCAUCGGGGGGUUCUUUUACCUUCAGAAGCAUCAUCCAUGGUAGGAAC
rnacentral:rRNA from 1 species